GAGGAACAGAAAAAAUUUUUCUUAAUUUUUUACAGGUAGUAGAAGAAAUGUUUAGAUAUGUUGAUGUAUACUCAGGUACCCCUAAGCAGUUCUAGGCAGAGCUCUAAAAGGACUGUAGAAUGAAAAAGAGGAAACCCUCAGGUUUCAAGAAACAGCUUCCUCUACCAUGUUCAUCUUUAAGCCGUGAAGUGAUACCAGCGCCCUAUUGAUCUGCUUCACAAAGGCAUCAAUGAUAAGUGAAGACUGUAUCACAGAUUGUGGAGCUCCAAAUAGCAGCAUUCUUAGUCCAACACAGAUCUUUGCCUGAUGUCCAUCUGUGGGGUCACUUGUUGAGUCUCCUUCUCUGAAGACAUUCAAAACCUGCCUGGAUGUGCUCCUGUGUGACCUGCACUAGGUGAUCCUGCUCUGGCUGGGGGUUGGACUUGAUGAUCUUUCAAGGUCCUUUCCAACCCCUCACAUGGAUUCUGUGAUGUGUAACCCACAUGGCUCUCACACUCUGCUGCCCUCUGAGGAUCCAGCCACCGGCCCAAAGCACAGCUGUCACCCACCAGCUCAUCGAAGCCAUCAACUUCCACAGGUGUCCCUAAGGUUACAUGGAGUCCCGCUGAAGUGCCACGGGCCUGUGCUGCCCGGGGCACCGAUACCCAAGGCGGGGGAAAUGCCGCCGUGUUAAACCUCCCGGUGUGGAGCCGCGGAGGGGGGGGGUUCAGAGUUCAGGCUGGUGACGGG